UCGGGAAUUUUGGGCAAUGGGCGAAAGCCUGACCCAGCAACGCCGCGUGAAGGAUGAAGUAUUUCGGUAUGUAAACUUCGAAAGAAUAGGAAGAAUAAAUGACGGUACUAUUUAUAAGGUCCGGCUAACUACGUGCCAGCAGCCGCGGUAAUACGUAGGGACCAAGCGUUGUUCGGAUUUACUGGGCGUAAAGCGUACGUAGGCGGUGACUCAAGUCAGAGGUGAAAGCCUGGAGCUCAACUCCAGAACUGCCUUUGAAACUAGGUCGCUAGAAUCACGGAGAGGUGAGUGGAAUUCCGAGUGUAGAGGUGAAAUUCGUAGAUAUUCGGAAGAACACCAGUGGCGAAGGCGGCUCACUGGACGUGUAUUGACGCUGAGGUACGAAAGCGUGGGGAGCAAACAGGAUUAGAUACCCCAGUAGUCCCUGAGCGGGCUGGCAAGGCGCAU
rnacentral:rRNA from 1 species